GGUGAACGCUGGCGGCGUGCUUAAGACAUGCAAGUCGAACGGCAGUCUUCGGACUGUAGUGGCGCACGGGUGAGUAACGCGUAACUGACCUACCCCAAAGUCGCGGAUAACGAUUCGAAAGAAUCGCUAAUACGUGAUGUGCUGUCAGAUUGUGUUCUGCCAGUAAAGAUUGAUUGCUUUGGGAUGGGGUUGCGUUCCAUCAGCUAGUUGGUGGGGUAAAGGCCCACCAAGGCGACGACGGAUAGCCGGCCUGAGAGGGUGGCCGGCCACAGGGGCACUGAGACACGGGUCCCACUACGACGGGAGGCAGCAGUUAGGAAUCUUCCACAAUGGGCGAAAGCCUGAUGGAGCGACGCCGUGUGAGGGAUGAAGGUCUUCGGAUCGUAAACCUCUGAAUCAGGGACGAAAGACACUUCGGUGGGAUGACGGUACCUGAGUAAUAGCACCGGCUAACUCCGUGCCAGCCGCCGCAGUAAGAC
rnacentral:rRNA from 1 species